GAUCCUGGCUCAGGAUGAACGCUAGCGACAGGCCUAACACAUGCAAGUCGAGGGGCAUCAGGUAUCAGCUUGCUGAUACGCUGGCGACCGGCGCACGGGUGAGUAACGCGUAUGCAAUCUGCCUGUAACAGGGGGAUAACCCGGAGAAAUCCGGCCUAAUACCCCUAUAAGGAUGUCUGUCCGCAUGGGCGGUCAUCUAAAGGUUUUCCGGUUACAGAUGGGCAUGCGUUCCAUUAG
rnacentral:rRNA from 1 species